rnacentral:lncRNA from 1 species
UUAAGGUUACUGUAUGCAGAACCUAAGCAUGUAAGGAGAUGGAGAUCAGAGCUUCAAUUCACUGUGCUACUUUAGCUAAUAAUGAUCCUGUGGGUCAAGAUUGCAACACUAUUUGGCAAAGAGAGGCACCUUGGAAGAUUUCUCCAUCUGUCAGUUUUGUAUCUACCAACAGAGAUUCUCCUCUUGACAACAGAACCACAAACUGUCACUGAAUUCAUCUGUUUUAUCUUGACAAAGAUGCCUGUUUCUCCUAGUUGCCCAAGACAAACAUGUACCAUAUACAGCCAAACAGAGGAUGUUUACAGAAGAAAAUGCAGCUUAACUGGCAUGAUGGAUUUGAGCUGGGACAGGAAGGACUUCAAAUUCUGCUUGCAGAAUGGGAAGGAAAGGCUUUCAGAAAGUGCCUCGUCUUGGGUACAAGAAUGGCAUCUCCUUCCUCAGUAUUCUGGAAAAUCCUUAUCAGCAUUUGUUCCCCAAAGAAAAUGUGGAAAGGACACUGGCAGGAAUGCCACAAGAUGAGAUUCGGAUGAACAACUCAGGUCAGUGAAGGAAUGGUCAAACCCAGUGAAUAACAUCUACUUUUAGCUAUAUAACCUUGUCUUACACUGUUUAGGGCAAGCCUGUAGAGUUUUAGUUAGGUGGUAGGAGCCGAAAGCACAGGCAAUUGGUAUAUGAAAGUGUCUUCCUGGUAGAAGAGAGGCAGAAGGGAAUUAUCAUCUCUGUUGCCCAAUCCCAUGAGGACUCCAGAAAGCCUGCUGUAUAUAUAGCUCCUUAACUGACAGAAUUUAGUGGGGAAAGCAUGCCGUUGUGAUCCAUGUACUUUUGAAGCAUUUUAUCCUGAUAUUUCUUUAUGUAAUAAUGUUACUUUUAAGAAAAACGUAAUAAAAGGUGUCUAAAUUACA